rnacentral:rRNA from 1 species
GAUGAACGCUAGCUACAGGCUUAACACAUGCAAGUCGCGGGGCAGCAUGGGGGUUGCUUGCAAUCCCCGAUGGCGACCGGCGCACGGGUGAGUAACGCGUAUCCAACCUGCCCUUCACCACGGGAUAACCCGGCGAAAGUCGGACUAAUACCGUAUGUUGUCCAUUGACGGCAUCCGAUUUGGACGAAAGGCUUGGCGGUGAGGGAUGGGGAUGCGUCCGAUUAGCCAGACGGCGGGGUAACGGCCCACCGUGGCUACGAUCGGUAGGGGUUCUGAGAGGAAGGUCCCCCACACUGGAACUGAGACACGGUCCAGACUCCUACGGGAGGCAGCAGUGAGGAAUAUUGGUCAAUGGGCGUAAGCCUGAACCAGCCAAGUAGCGUGCAGGAUGACGGCCCUAUGGGUUGUAAACUGCUUUUAUGCGGGGAUAAAGUGGCCCACGCGUGGGCUUUUGCAGGUACCGCAUGAAUAAGGACCGGCUAAUUCCGUG